UCACGAGGAUCCUACUGUCUCCCCCCUCUAAUCAGUGAAACUGAUCUCUCCGUGAAGAAGCGGGGAUGAACAUAUAAGACGAGAAGACCCCAUGGAGCUUUAAACCCGACAGCACCCGCUCAUUCUAAGCCCAAUUAUACGCCCGUACCUGUCUGCUCGGUUUUAGGUUGGGGUGACCGCGGAGUACAAAAUAACCUCCAUGAAGAAAGGGAUAAAUGCCCUUAUUAGAGAAAGACACUUCCAAAAACUAACAAAUUAAUUUUUAAUGAUCCGAUAUUCGAUCAACGAACCAAGUUACCCUGGGGAUAACAGCGCAAUCCACCUCGAGAGCUCCUAUCGACAGGUGGGUUUACGACCUCGAUGUUGGAU
rnacentral:rRNA from 1 species